rnacentral:rRNA from 1 species
GACGAACGCUGGCGGCGUGCUUAACACAUGCAAGUCGAACGGAAAGGCCCAGCUUGCUGGGUGCUCGCGUGGCGAACGGGUGAGUAACACGUGGGUGAUCUGCCUCUAACUUCGGGAUAAGCCUGGGAAACUGGGUCUAAUACCGGAUAGGACAAUCGUUUAGUGUCGGUUGUGGAAAGUUUUUUCGGUUAGGGAUGAGCUCGCGGCCUAUCAGCUUGUUGGUGGGGUAAUGGCCUACCAAGGCGUCGACGGGUAGCCGGCCUGGGAGGGUGGACGGCCACAUUGGGACUGAGAUACGGCCCAGACUCCUACGGGAGGCAGCAGCGGGGAAUAUUGCACAAUGGGCGCAAGCCUGAUGCAGCGACGCCGCGUGGGGGAUGACGGCCUUCGGGUUGUGAACCUCUUUCGACAGGGACGAAGCUUUGGUGACGGUACCUGUAUAAGAAGCACCGGCUAACUACGUG